rnacentral:lncRNA from 1 species
UCAGAGCGGUCGCUGUGAAGGCACGUUAAAAGAGGAAUCUUACCAUUGCAAUUUGACUGAACAGACAAAAUAAAUAAAUGAGAAACUAUGUACAGAAAAGGACUUUGGGUGUAAGGGAAGGUACCUCCGCAAGGGUGAUUGCUUGAAGGAUAACUUGUUUUACCGCUUAAAGGGAUAUGCCCCCAGGUCACUUUUCUCCCCUUAGGCUUUAAACACACACACACACACACACACACACACACACACACACACACACACACACACACACACACAGCUUACUAUUAAGUGUGCUGCAACAAGCCUUCCUGUGCUCUUCACAUGGACUGGACAGCAUGGAUUCCAACAUCAGAGUUUGGAUGGAGGAUCAGCCAAUUAUGAUGCAGCGCGUAUGAACCUGAAAAAAGCCCAAACCAGGAGCACCCUGACAUCAGAUGAUGAAGGGGGUAAAAGAAGGAGAAUGUAAGCACUGUGCAGUAAUCUAUACUAUAAAAACCAUGAGCUACACAAAACAAUGCAUGCUUAUUGAGUGAUUUCUUUUCUAAUGCAGCCCUUCCUCAAAGCUGAAAGAAACUGUGCCUGCAGAUGAGGGGGAGAAGCAUACAAGGGCUAAGAAAAAAGAAAAAAAAGGAGUCCUCCACAAGCCCCUGCUUUCCCCACCUGCUUUUAGAUCAUCACAGCAGGACAUACAUAAAGUUGCUGCCCACACAUCAGCUGCUCUUGAACAGGCCUCUGCCCAGAUCUCUGGCAACAUUCAAAGUCAAUUCGGUACACAAACAUCUGGCAUUACACAGCAAUACUGAAAAUCUGUUUAAACUUAAGUCUGUUAAUUUUAGCAAAGGGUCUUGA